CGGGAUGUAGUUCAGUUGGCUAGAACGCUCGCUUUGGGAGCGAGAGGUCGCCGGUUCGAGUCCGGCCAUCCCGA
rnacentral:tRNA from 2 species